AACGAACGCUGGCGGCAGGCCUAACACAUGCAAGUCGAACGUGAAGCCACCUUCGGGUGGUGGAAAGUAGCAGACGGGUGAGUAACGCGUGGGAACGUGCCUUUCGGUUCGGAAUAACCCAGGGAAACUUGGGCUAAUACCGGAUACGCCCUUUGGGGGAAAGAUUCAUCGCCGAAAGAUCGGCCCGCGUCGGAUUAGCUAGUUGGUAGGGUAAUGGCCUACCAAGGCGACGAUCCGUAGCUGGUCUGAGAGGAUGACCAGCCACACUGGGACUGAGACACGGCCCAGACUCCUACGGGAGGCAGCAGUGGGGAAUAUUGGACAAUGGGCGAAAGCCUGAUCCAGCCAUGCCGCGUGGGUGAAGAAGGCCCUAGGGUUGUAAACCCCUUUCAGCGGGGAAGAUAAUGACUGUACCAGCAGAAGAAGCCCCGGCUAACUCCGUGCCAGCCGCCGCUGUAACAC
rnacentral:rRNA from 1 species